rnacentral:rRNA from 1 species
GACGAACGCUGGCGGCGUGCUUAACACAUGCAAGUCGAGCGGAAAGGCCACUUCGGUGGUACUCGAGCGGCGAACGGGUGAGUAACACGUGAGUAAUCUGCCCUUCACUCUGGGAUAGCCACCGGAAACGGUGAUUAAUACCGGAUACGACCACUCCACGCAUGUGGUGGUGGUGGAAACUUUUUGGGUGGGGGAUGUGCUCGCGGCCUAUCAGCUUGUUGGUGGGGUAAUGGCCUACCAAGGCUUCGACGGGUAGCAGCCUGAGAGGGUGACCGGCCACACUGGGACUGAGACACGGCCCAGACUCCUACGGGAGGCAGCAGUGGGGAAUAUUGGACAAUGGGCGGAAGCCUGAUCCAGCAACGCCGCGUGAGGGAUGACGGCCUUCGGGUUGUAAACCUCUUUCAGCACCGACGAAGCGCAAGUGACGGUAGGUGCAGAAGAAGGACCGGCCAACUACGUGCCAGCAGCCGCCGUAA